rnacentral:rRNA from 1 species
CCUACGGCAGGCAGCAGUGGGGAAUAUUGCACAAUGGGCGCAAGCCUGAUGCAGCCAUGCCGCGUGUAUGAAGAAGGCCUUCGGGUUGUAAAGUACUUUCAGCGGGGAGGAAGGCGAUAAGGUUAAUAACCUUGUCGAUUGACGUUACCCGCAGAAGAAGCACCGGCUAACUCCGUGCCAGCAACCGCGGUAAUACGGAGGGUGCAAGCGUUAAUCGGAAUUACUGGGCGUAAAGCGCACGCAGGCGGUCUGUCAAGUCGGAUGUGAAAUCCCCGGGCUCAACCUGGGAACUGCAUUCGAAACUGGCAGGCUGGAGUCUUGUAGUGGGGGGUAGAAUUCCAGGUGUAGCGGUGUAAUGCGUAGAGAUCUGGAGGAAUACCGGUGGCGAAGGCGGCCCCCUGGACAAAGACUGACGCUCAGGUGCGAAAGCGUGGGGAGCAAACAGGAUUAGAUACCCUUGUAGUC